GGGGCGAUAGCUCAGGUGGUAGAGCAACGGCCUUUUAAGCCGUGGGUCCUGGGUUCGAAUCCCAGUCGUCCCACCA
rnacentral:tRNA from 1 species